rnacentral:tRNA from 1 species
GGGCCUCGCCCGGUCCGAAAAUGGCGGAAAUCCGGGCUAGGGCCUUCGUUGACAUCGCAGGGGUCGCAAGUUCAAUCCUUGCCACGCCCACCA